UUCGCCGAGGGGCGCUGCGACCGUGACGCAAGGGCACGGCCAGGCUCGACGAACCGGCGGCAGGCCCCUGCCGCGCACCAACGGCGCCCGAUGUCC
rnacentral:ncRNA from 2 species